rnacentral:sRNA from 1 species
GAUACCAGGGUCAAAAGGUCUGAACCCACAUGAGCUUGCUCAAAUGUGGGUGAAUGUCCUUGAGACCCGCCAAAAUAUGAGCUUAAAAGUGGGGUGUAAGCACCACGAUAUGCGAAUAUUUUGCAGGAUUGUGGGAGUACGAAGUACCUAACAAUCCGUAGGUAUC